rnacentral:rRNA from 1 species
AUUGAACGCUGGCGGCAGGCCUAACACAUGCAAGUCGAGCGGAGCGGCGGACGGGUGAGUAAUGCCUAGGAAUCUGCCUGGUAGUGGGGGAUAACGUCCGGAAACGGGCGCUAAUACCGCAUACUAUCAGAUGAGCCUAGGUCGGAUUAGCUAGUUGGUGGGGUAAAGGCCUACCAAGGCGACGAUCCGUAACUGGGCUGAGCGGAUGAUCAGUCACACUGGAACUGAGACACGGUCCAGACUCCUACGGGAGGCAGCAUUGGGGAAUAGUGCACAAGGGGCGCAAGCCUGAUGCAGCCAUGCCGCGUGUCUGAAAAAGGCCUUCGGGUUGGAAAGUACUUUCAGCGAGGAGGCGUUACUCGCAGAAGAAGCACCGGCUAACUCCGUGCCAGCCGCCGCGGUAAUAC